CAGUGAUAAACAUCAUUUUUGGUCUACAGUUGACAAAAUCUGUAGUAAAAAUUGGAGCUACAUACGUUAUGUAUGUUUAUAUAGCUCUGUAUGUACUGUUCGAAGUUGUAUUCGAAAUUUUAAAGAUGCAAGAGAAUGGUCAAAUUAAAGAUAACAAGUCAUAUGAUGUAAGCAUGACGAAUAUAAUCGAUAGGAAAACAGCUGAAAAAGCGGAGACAACUAAUAAGUUUUCUCGCAUGAGGUUUUUUCUUCUGAUCGCGCAUCUGGUUACCAUUGGUGUGUUGUCAUUGACCGUUAUUGUGUAUAUCUUCCUGGGCAUAUGAGAAAACAACAUACAGCAAAUUAUUGGGCUAAAUGAAAUGAUUUAUAAAAUCAUUGAUAGUCUAUUGAACCUCAAUACAAUUGGAAGCGUACCA